CAUACAAAAUUUGAAAGAAAUCCAUCAUGAAAUAUGAUCUGCAGAGCGCAAACUAGACACCCACCAAAAUAUGAACUCUUGACCCUAUACAUGUACAAGACGGAAAACUGGGGGCAGCAUCACCAAAA